rnacentral:rRNA from 1 species
CCUACGGGUGGCAGCAGUGAGGAAUAUUGGUCAAUGGACGAGAGUCUGAACCAGCCAAGUAGCGUGAAGGAUGACUGCCCUAUGGGGUGUAAACUUCUUUUAUAUGGGAAUAAAACAGGGUAUGCAUACCCUCUUGUAUGUACCAUAGGAAUAAGGAUCGGCUAACUCCGUGCCAGCAGCCGCGGUAAUACGGAGGAUCCGAGCGUUAUCCGGAUUUAUUGGGUUUAAAGGGGGCGUAGGUGGAUUGUUAAGUCAGGGGUGAAAGUUUGCGGCUCAACCGUAGAAUUGCAGUUGAUACUGGCAGUCUUGAGUACAGUAGCGGUGGGCGGAAUGCGUGGUGUAGCGGUGAAAUGCUUAGAUAUCACGCAGAACUCCGAUUGCGAAGGCAGCUCACUGGACUGCAACUGACGCUGAUGCACGAAAGUGUGGGUAUCAAACAGGAUUAGAUACCCCGGUAGUC